GUAGUCUCUCUGAGUCGGUCAGUUAUGCUGAUGGCAGAAUUGAGUUCAUGAGGAAAAGAAUUCCACUGCAACUUGAAGCUUGGUGAAAAGCCUCGGCUUAAGCAGACUGCACGAGCUCCACAAGAACUGAGUUUGUGCCGAAUUUUAUUCAUCACUGUAUCCCUGGCACCUGGAACAAUGCUGUGAAAGUCAGUCAUAGGCAUUCAGUCAUAGGCAUUUUCAGUGAAUGCGUUCAAUUUUCAACAUCAGUCUCCUUAAGUAUCUACCCAAGAGAAAUGAAAACAUAUGUCCACACAAACAAUGGUAUGUGAAUGUUCCUAGCAGUGACAUUUGUAAUGGUUGCAAAGUGGCAAUUAUCCAAAUGUCCAUCAGCUGGCGAGCGGAUAAACAAAAGGUGGCACAUCCAUACAGUGGAAUACCAUUCAGCAAUAAAAAAGAAAAACAUGUACUACAACAUGGAUAAACCCCAAAGAUAUUAUGUUAAAUGAAAUAAGCCGGACACAAAAGACUACACAGUGUACUAUUCCAUAUGUAUGAAAUUUCUAGAAAAGGAAACACUGCAAAGAAGAAAGCAGACCCAUGGCUGCCUUGGCCUGGGGGUAGGAGUGGGGACUGCCUCCAGGUGGGAAGAAGGGAACUUUUAGAGGUGAUGGAAAUGUUCUAAAAUUGGAUUCUGGUGAUGGUUGCACAACUGUAUAAAUUUACAAAAAAUUAUCAAACUAUACAUUUGCAGUGGUGAAGUGUAUGGCAUGUGAAUUAUGUCUCAAUAAAGCUGUUAAAAGUG